AUUGAACGCUGGCGGCAGGCCUAACACGUGCAAGUCGAGCGGAUGAAGGGAGCUUGCUCCUGGAUUCAGCGGCGGACGGGUGAGUAAUGCCUAGGAAUCUGCCUGGUAGUGGGGGAUAACGUCCGGAAACGGGCGCUAAUACCGCAUACGUCCUGAGGGAGAAAGUGGGGGAUCUUCGGACCUCACGCUAUCAGAUGAGCCUAGGUCGGAUUAGCUAGUUGGUGGGGUAAAGGCCUACCAAGGCGACGAUCCGUAACUGGUCUGAGAGGAUGAUCAGUCACACUGGAACUGAGACGCGGUCCAGACUCCUACGGGAGGCAGCAGUGGGGAAUAUUGGACAAUGGGCGAAAGCCUGAUCCAGCCAUGCCGCGUGUGUGAAGAAGGUCUUCGGAUUGUAAAGCACUUUAAGUUGGGAGGAAGGGCAGUAAGUUAAUACCUUGCUGUUUUGACGUUACCAACAGAAUAAGCACCGGCUAACUUCGUG
rnacentral:rRNA from 1 species